rnacentral:lncRNA from 1 species
CCGGCGCCGUUUGGGGGAUUUGGGUUUCCCGCAGGCUCACGGGGCUUCGCCGCUGCGACCGUGACAAAGCGGAUUUGUACCUUCCAGCACCCGGCACCGCAUGAGUGCCCUUUUAAUAGCACACCGUUGUGUAUUCACACCCUGCCGCCCCACUCCGAAAUUCAAAACUUUGGCAACCCAAACUGCUGAGCGAGGAUCGUGGCUGUGCUGUACGAGGCUGUGUGCCACUGUCAGCAUAACUUGUUUCCAGGCUGCAUGGAGGCAGGGCUCACUGUGUUGUCUGACAAACUGGCUUCAUCCUGAAAGCUGGAGGUGAUCCAGAAGUCUGGUCGUCAGGCUCCUAAGGAGGGAAACGAGGAACAGGGAUGCUGCUGAUGUAGGAACCGAAGGAAACUCAUUCUCCUGGCCACCAGGGGGAGAAAACUGCCACUGACAUUUGUAAAACACUCAAAAUCAACUUAAACACGCACCUAUUUUCUUGCUAAGGUUUUUGAGACUUAGGUCCAUCAACUGUCUUAUUGAAUUAGUUAUGAGAAAACUAUUCAUUUUAGUUUUUUUCCAAAGUACUGUAAACCCCCUAAUGUAAUACAAUUUUAUUAAUUAAAAAUAUAAUUUAAUUAUUACAUGGAUCAUAUUCUCUCCUUCUCUAAAUGUUGCAUAUUACCUUAUUUUAAAAUUAAUCCUAUUAUUUUUAAUAGGACUGAGUGCAAAGUAAGAUACAGCUUAACAUGAGUAAGUACAGAAAAAUACUACUCUAAGUGAAAGGAACAAAUCUAUUCAAAGUAGCUAUGCAACAUGACAUACUUGCUUCUUGGCCUCAAAUAAACUCUGAAUAAGAAUAGGAAAGGAACA